GAGCGACAUACAUUCUCUCUCUCUCUCUCUGUGUCUCUCUCUGUCUCUCUCUCUCUCUCCCCGGCGCUUGCUUUCUCUCAGGCGCUCAGCCACACUCGACAGGAACGCUGAUUGCUUUCAUAUGACGCUAUUUCUGUGAUCGAGACUGACCCGACGGACACGGGACAGAUGAAACACACACACACACACACACACACACACACACACACACACACACACACACACGCACACUCUGGCUCUCCUGCUGGCGUUAUCAACAAGUUAUCAAACCCGGCUUCGUUCGUGCUGAGGGUUGCUUGGCAACGUAUUGACAGAGCUGAUUUCAUUCUGUGUCUGCCUCUCUAACUCCCCUCUUCCUCCUCCAUUUCCCCUCUCUCUCUCUCUCUCUCCCCCCCCCCCUCUCGCUUUUUGGCAUAUUUUUAUAUGGUAACUUUUGGCCUUUUUUGCCCCCUCCAACUUUCGUUUCAUCCGGUGGUGAAUGCGUGUGUGUGUUUCCGGAGCGCGGCGUGCCGUCAGGGUGGCCUGUAGGGUAAGACGACCAGGCGGCGGCCCCCGCUCUGUGAUCUGUGAUGUGUGAGAGUAGAUCACAAGCCACACACACACACGCACAUUCACUGACCCCAAACUACACAGUUUGACUACACAGUCAAACAAACUACACAGACCCGCACAUGUCGGUAUGUAAUCCUGCGCAGUGCCACUCGUCACCGCUUCCGCCAUGACAACCUGUCGUUUGUGACUGAGGCCGAGUACAAACCAACGUCCGUUGACCAGCAGCUGGCUGCUAAUCUUCCAUUAACCUUUAGCCAGUGUCACAUUCCGCAGCAAUUUCCCCCCUUCCCUUUAUAAAUACACGGGCAAUAUCUCAUUAACUAUAAUCGUGACCGGCUUUUGAAC
ensembl:lncRNA